CAAUCUUAAGAUUGAGGAGGGGAGGUGGAAGGUAGCAACUCUAGUUGUCAAGCUUAAGAUUGAGGAGGGGAGGUGGAAGGUAGCAACUCUAGUUGUCAAGCUUAAGAUUGAGGAGGGGAGGUGGAAGGUAGCAACUCUAGUUGUCAAGCUUAAGAUUGAGGAGGGGAGGUGGAAGGUAGCAACUCUAGUUGUCAAGCUUAAGAUUGAGGAGGGGAGGUGGAAGGUAGCAACUCUAGUUGUCAAUCUUAGCAUUGAGGAGGGGAGGUGGAAGGUAGCAACUCUAGUUGUC